AAAGGAAUAGACGGGCACCCGCACAAGCGGUGGAGCAUGCUGUUUAAUUCGAAGAUACGCGAAGAACCUUACCUAGGCUUGACAUCCCGGGCAAAGCUAUAGAGAUAUAGUGGAGGCUACCCCGGUGACAGGUGGUGCAUGGUUGUCGUCAGCUCGUGUCGUGAGAUGUUCGGUUAAGUCCGAUAACGAGCGCAACCCUUAUCGUUAGUUACUAACAUUUAGUUGAGUUCUCUAGCGAGACUGCCGGUGAUAAACCGGAGGAAGGUGGGGAUGACGUCAAAUCAUCAUGCCCCUUACGUCUAGGGCUACAGGCGUGCUACAAUGGCCGGUACAAAAAGAUGCAAUAUAGUGAUAUGGAGCAAAUCUCAAAAACCGGUCUCAGUUCGGAUUGGAGUCUGCAACUCGACUCCAUGAAGUUGGAAUCGCUAGUAAUCCUGAAUCAGAAUGUCAGGGUGAAUACGUUCCCGGGUGUUGUACACACCGCCCGU
rnacentral:rRNA from 1 species